UACGAAGGGGGCUAGCGUUGCUCGGAAUCACUGGGCGUAAAGGGUGCGUAGGUGGGUUUUUAAGUCAGGGGUGAAAUCCUGGAGCUCAACUCCAGAACUGCCUUUGAUACUGAAGAUCUUGAGUCCGGGAGAGGUGAGUGGAACUGCGAGUGUAGAGGUGAAAUUCGUAGAUAUUCGCAAGAACACCAGUGGCGAAGGCGGCUCACUGGCCCGGUACUGACGCUGAGGCACGAAAGCGUGGGGAGCAAACAGG
rnacentral:rRNA from 1 species